AGAAAGUUGUUAGAAUAGUCCUGGAUAAAAAGGAUGCUGCCUUAGUCCAUUCCUGCUGCUAUAACAAUGCUAUAAACAAUGCUAUAAACAAAUGCUGCUAUAAACAAAAUACUUCAGACCAGAUAAUUUGUAAAUUAUAGAAAAGUAUUUCUCACAGUUCUGGAGGUCAAGGUGCCGGUAGAUUUGGUGUCUGGUGAGGGCUUGCUCUCUCCUUCCAAGAUGAUACCUGGUUCCUAUACCCUCCAGAGGGGAUGCACGCUAUGUCUUCACAUGGCAGAAGGAUGAGAAGGGCCAGGCAGCUCUCUGAAGCCUCUUUUUUUGAGACGGAGUUUUGCUCGUGUUGCCGAGGCUGGAGUGCAAUGGCACAAUCUAGGCUCACUGCAACCUCCGCGUCCUAGGUUCAAGUGAUUCUCCUGCCUCAACCUCCUGAGUAGCUAGGAUUACAGGUGCCUGCCACCAUGCCCAGCUAAUUUUUGUAUUUUGAGUAGAGACGGGGUUUCACCAUGUUGGCCAGCUGGUCUUGAACUCUUGACCUCAUGUGAUCCGCCCACCUCAGCCUCCCAAAGUGCUGAGAUUACAGGCGUGAGCCACCACGCCCAGCCUCUGAAGCCUCUUUUACAAGAGCAUUAAUCCCAUUCCCAAGGGAAGAACCCUCAUGACUUAAUCAGUUCCCAAAAGGCCCCACCUGUUAAUACCACCACAAUGGGGAUUAAGUUUCAACAUGAAUUUGGAGGGACACAAACAUUCAAGCUUUAACAGAUAGGUAUUCAUCUAACUGUAUACUUUCAUGGAUGUAGUUUGCUAUUUGUAAUUUAUACCUCAAUAAAGUCGGAUUAAAACAAGAAAUAAAUGAUGGGAAUCUGAGCAAAGGCUGUGAAGGUUGAGGACCAAAGGAGGGGAAGAAAGAACUACCGAGGAGCUGGGAUCACUCAGCCUGUAAACUGUCACGGGAUAACCCAGGCUCCGGUGCCUGAGAGUCAGCCAGGUCGUUGCAUCGUCCCCUCACGAACGUGUAAGACUUCAGAGUUGGAAACAGCCUUCAGAGAAUACAUCAGUGUCCCAAAAGGAAACAGAACUCUGCUCAAAUAGUUCAACUGAAGAGACCUUACUGAGGAGGUACUAUUUACAGAAGGCUAGAUUAAAGAAACCAAGAAGAAUAUUGAGAAACCCAGAGACUGCAAACUGCUGUGUAUUAGUGUGUUGCCGCAUUGCUCUAAAUACCUGAGACUCGGUUAUUUAUAAAGAAAAGAGGCCCUGGGUGUGGUGGCUCAUGCCUGUAAUCCCAGCACUUUGAGAGGCGGAGGCAGGCAGAUCACUUGAGGUCAGGAGUUCGAGACCAGCCUGGCCAACAUGGUGAAACCCUCUCUCUACUAAAAAUACAAAAAUUAGCCAGGCAUGGUGGGGAGUGCCUGUAAUCCCAGCUCCUCAGGAGGCUGAGGUGGGAGAAUCACUUGAACCCGGGAAGUGGAGGUUGCAGCGAGCCGAGAUCAUGCCACUGCACUCCAGCCUGGGCCACAGAGCGAGACUGUGUCUCAAAAAAAAAGAAAAGAGGUUUCAUUGGCUCACAGUUCCACAGGCUGUACAGGAAGCAUGGCAGCAUCUGCUUUUGGGGAGACCUCAGGGAACUUAUAAUCAUGGCAGAAGGCAAAGCCAGAGCAGGCAUUCACAUGGCCAGAGCAGGAGGAAGAGAGAGAGGGUGGAGGUGCUACACACUUUUAAACAACCAGAUCUCAUGAGAACCCUAUCAUGAGAACAGCACUAGGGGAAUGGUGCUUAAGCAUUAAAACUGCCCUCAUGAUCCAAUUACCUCCCACCAGGCCCCACCUCCAACAAUGGGGAUUACAAUUCCACAUGAGAUUUGGGCAGGGACACAGAUCCAAACCAUAUCAUGCUGGAAACCACCCAUGGGCCUAAAGAAGGUUACUGGAGCCCAUUGAGGCCUGGAGCAGUGGGAAGGACCACUGGGCAGAAGCUAUAGCCAGGCAGAACGGCACUGGCCCAACCCUGCAUCAAAGCAGAGAGGUAGCAGAGAAGAAAUACUCUCCCACUUUCCAGCCUCCUGCCUGUGUCUCCCAGUGGCCAAAUCAUACUGGAGCCAAUAGACACAGGAACCCAUUGAUUCAUUCCACAGGGAUCAGCCUUCUGAGGCACAGAGCAAUUCUAAGAAGGAGAGACAAUGAAUUGAAGAGGACAAGUGGAGAACAACCGCAUCAUGUACUGCAAUUUCCACCCUGUUGUUUUUCCCCAGAAGAAGCCUCAGAGAGUGGAGGCAAUCUGCCAAAGGCCAUGUAGCAAGUUAGGACAGGGCCCUUAGCUCCUCUUCCUUGGGGCCCAGGCUCCUUGCACACUGGGCCUGCACCGAAGGCAGCCAGGUGGGAUGCCCCAUUGUCUUGGAGCUGCAGCUGCAGGUCCCAAUUAGCCAGAGGAAGGCAGCUGAGCAAGGGCAGCAGUGGGCAGGGCCAGGAAAGAUGAACAUCCAAGGGCUGGCCACCCACCCUCAACGUCAGGAAGGUAAUAGACACUUGCUUCCUUGUCUCAUGAUUUGCUACCUGCCCCCCUGGUCCCCAUUUCCUCUCUUGAGUCCUCCCUAGACCUGGGGACAGGAACCCAGACCUAGGAUGGGCAGGAACAAAGGGAGGAGACUCUGCUUCCCUGGUAGCCAGCGCUGCUCAUCGAUUCCCUAGAGCUGCUCACUGAUCCAGCACAAGAUGGUUUAAUUGAAGUCACUACAAUAAAUGGUGCAGAAAAGCAACACCCUUUGUCUGCCAGGAGCCUCAGAGAAAUGGGAGAGGGAGCUGGGAAAACCAGCAGCAGCAACUGCCAUUACACGAUGAUGCAAAGGGGGUGAGACUGAGGCGUCACAGAGUCCUGGGUUUGAAGCCUGACUGGUCACUUACAAGUUAUGUGACCUUAGUCAAGUCCCUUUAUCUUCCCCAGCUUCUAGGCCCUAGUCUAGGAAAAUGGGAAUAUUGUAACCUGUCCUCCCAGGCCCUGCAUGACCCUGGGCCCUGCCUGCAUCUCCAGCUCCAUCUCCCACCACCUCUCACCUCCUGUCACUCUGUGGUUACCCACGUGGGUUGCUGUUCCCUGCCAGUCCUCAUAUUUCACUCACAUGGAUCUCUCCCCUGAAAUGCCCUUCCCAUUCCUUCCUUGAGUAAUUCCUACUCACCUUUCAAGAUUCAGAUCCAGAGUCACCUCCUCCAGCAAGACUCUCUAUGCCCAGCCUUCCUUCCCCUGAGUGCCUCUAGCACACCCUGACUGUUGACAUCCAUUUGGCAUUUGACACUCCCUCUCGUGCACAGCAGUCUUUCUCUCUCCCUAUGGCUUAUCUUCUCAUGGAGAUAAACAUGGGAGCUAUAUCUUCUCUUUCUCAUCUUCACAUGCCUAAUAUAUGCCUAACAUCACAGUCGUGUUGGGGUUGGGGGUACUGAGGUGCAGAGAUUCAGAGUCCAGAGGUGGGCACAGCCAGGAUGCAGCCGGCACUGGUAGAUGAUAACUCCCAUGUAGCCACGAAGCUCCCUUCCCAGAUAGUUAGGAUGGUACGUCCACCAUAUGUUCUUGUCUUCAGCAUGGAACACAGCCUCCUCUGUGCCCAGGACCAGCUGGCUCUCUGCUCAGCUCCAUAAACUACUAUCUGAUUCAGUAUCAGAGGACAGAGGAUCCAAGUUGUGAAAUCAUAAAAUGUCAGCAUCAAACCUUCUAAUGUAGCAAAAGUGAAGUCUCAGUACCUCCAGUCUACGUCAUAAGAAGCUUUAUCAUUUCCACUUGUGUCUCUUGGGAUGCUCUCUCUCAGAAUCCAGGUGCCCUUCCAUGAGAAGCCCAAGCCAUGUGGAGAAGCCACGUCUAGGGACUCCAGUUAACACUCUCAGCUGAGUCCCCAGCUGACAGUCAGCAUCAACUGCCAGCCACCUCUGUCUAAAAGUGGGCUAUCUUGGGCAUCCAGCCCAGUCAAGCCUUCAGAUGAGUCCAGUCCCAGCCACUAUCUCACACAACCACACGAGAGACAUCAAGAACUCCCAGUGGAGUCCAGUCAGCCCAUGGAACUGUAAGAGACAGGAUCUCGCUGCGUUGCUCAGACUGGUCUCGAACUCCUGGGCUUAAGGGAUUCUCCUGCCUCAAUCACAGCCUCCCAAGUAGCUGAGAUUACAAGUGCUCACCACCGUGCCAGCGAGUUCAGUUUUUGAGGGUGGAGCCAAGACUCUGAGGAGAGGGCUGAACUGUGAACCUAGAAGUACCAUCUCCCCCUGCACACACCUUUGGUCAAGUUGACCCCAAGAAGAAGGACAAGUCCUCUGCACGGCGAUGAGGCCAUACACACAGUCUGUGGCCCGGCUUUGGGAGACUGAUGGGACAAAGGAUGUUUUGCACGAUCCUUGGUCUCUGAGCAAAUAUAUACAUGGGUUAACACAAA